rnacentral:tRNA from 1 species
UAUAAAGUGCCUGAAUUUAAAAGGAUUAUUUUGAUAGAAUAAAUUAUGUGUAAUCACCUUUAUAU